rnacentral:rRNA from 1 species
UACGUAGGUGGCAAGCGUUGUCCGGAUUUACUGGGCGUAAAGAGCGCGCAGGCGGUCGUUUAAGUCGAAUGUGAAAGCCCCCGGCUCAACUGGGGAGGGUCAUUCGAUACUGAUCGACUUGAAGGCAGGAGAGAGAAGUGGAAUUCCCGGUGUAGUGGUGAAAUGCGUAGAUAUCGGGAGGAACACCAGUGGCGAAGGCGACUUCUUGGCCUGUUCUUGACGCUGAGGCGCGAAAGCUAGGGGAGCAAACGGG